UACGUAGGGGGCAAGCGUUAUCCGGAUUUACUGGGUGUAAAGGGAGCGCAGGCGGCGCGUUAAGUCUGAUGUGAAAACCCGCGGCUCAACUGCGGGACUGCAUUGGAAACUGGCGGGCUGGAGUUGGAGAGAAGUACGCGGAAUGCGCGGUGUAGCGGUGAAAUGCUUAGAUAUCGCGCAGAACCCCGAUUGCGAAGGCAGCGUACCGGCUCCACACUGACGCUGAGGCACGAAAGCGUGGGUAUCGAACAGG
rnacentral:rRNA from 1 species